rnacentral:misc_RNA from 1 species
AGGAAAACAAUUCAAUCUGUGUAGUGAAUGAGUAUGAAGAUUUGGGGUUUUUGGAUUUGAGAAGCAGCAGUGGAGGAAGCAUAAGAUGGAGCUCAAGAAGUAGGCUAAUGAAGGGAAAAAUGCCAGAAGAGCCAUGUUACCCCAAGUUAGCAUUACAUGAAGGACAGCUCUUUUCAUCCAUGAAUGAUUCCAUAUCAGUGUUAUGUGGACCUGACUGGGUUUUGACAUCCAGGCUACGAAGAAGCAUUGGUGGUUCGAUCUGCGAUUUCUCCAUUGGCGGGGAUCGUCUUUUUGCACUUCACAGCGAGGAAAAUGUUUUCGAUAUAUGGGAGACACCACCGGCCCCUGUAAUUUCAUCAUUCAGUUAAUGAUUUGCUUCUUCCUCUUGAUAGAAAAAAGGGUUCUCUCCUUUUGGUUCUUAGAUUUGUAAGAUAAUAGUUGAAGAAAAAUGAAGAUGUAUAUAGCAGGACGUCUAAAUCAGAGAUCUUGGCUAAGAAAACUGAACAGAACAAAGUGAGAGAUUUAAAAUUUAGGUGCCAUUGCCA